GUCCUCUCCGAGUCUGUCCUAGGAAGACUUUUUUUUUUUUUUUUUUUUUUCCCCAGGAUAGCAGCGUUGCAAAAAGUAUACUGAAGAUUGAGAAGAUAAGCAUUUUCUUGUAAAACUCCAUCUAUCUGUCUAUGCAACCAUAGUGACACCUCAGACUUCACUCACAGAGGAACUGCAGCUCCCACAUCAGUGAAGAGUACGUGAUGGACUUCCCAAAGGUGUGGUUGUUAAAAGAAGAAAAGGGUGAUGGAGACGAUGUGUAGCAAAGCUGCAUGUGCCGGUGCUGAUUUGUGCGUUCCUGUCUGGUGGUGUUAGUGGGAUACAAUGCUCACCUAGAAGAAACCUGAGCAUAUCUGUAUCUCAAAGCACUGGCAUUUUCCACCCCAGUUUUCUGGAAUCACGUCGAAGAGUUAAAUCUGUAGGAAAUUCUAAAGCAGCGAGCAAAUAGACUUUCUGGAUAAAUUAACUUGAUUAUUUCUAUCCAAAUAAUCCUGGGAUAAAGAAAGAAUAUGGACCAGAAAGUCAGAAUCUAGGUCCCAGGGCGUGAGCACAGGACCGGUGGGGGAAAGCAGGUUUGUGUUUUCUUCCUGUUCCUGGGGCUGGCUGUCAGACCAUGUCAGAACAGCUUUGCUUGUUAUUGCAGAGGCCUUUAGCAAAACACAGACCCCUUAAACUGUAGUUUGAAGAUGUACAGUUGACAAUAGAGAAGAUGCAUAGUAUACUAAUAAAACCAAUGGGUAGAAUAUCUGAUAAUCACCUUUAAUGUGUUAUUUAUGCAAUAAACUUUUUUAGGGCUGUGCUGGUUUUGGCUGGGAUAGAGUUAAUUUCUUUCCUAGUAGCAGGUAUAGUGCUGAGUUUUGGAUUUAGGAUGAGAAUAGUGUUGAUAACACACUGAUGUUUUAGUUGUUGCUAAGCAGUGUUUGCACUGAGUUAAGACCUUUUCUGCUUCUCGCCCCACCCCAGCAGCGGGGAGGCUGGGGGUACACAAGAAGCUGGGAGGGGACACAGCUGGGACAGCUGACCCCAGCUGACCAGAGGGAUAUUCCAGACCAUAUGACAUCAUCCUCAGCAAUAAAACUGGGGGAAGAAGAAGGAAGGGGGGAUGUUCGGAGUAAUGGCCUUUGUCUUCCCAAGUAACCGUUACAGGUGACGGAGCCCUGCUUUCCUGGAGAUGGCUGAACACCUGCCUGCCGAUGGGAAGUAGUGAAUGAAUUCCUUGCUUUGCUUUGCUUGUGUGCACGGCUUUUGCUUUCCCUAUUAAACUGUCUUUAUCUCAACCCAUGAGUUUUCGCACCUUUACCCUGCUGAUUCUCUCCCCCAUCCCAAUGUGGGGGGGAGUGAGCGGCUGUGUGGUGCUUAAUUGCUGGCUGGGGUUAAACCAUGACAGGGGCCUAAUUAAGUCCACACUGUUUAUGAUAGUGCUGCUGCUACAUUUGAAGGAGCAGGUGAUGUAAUUUGUAAUUUGCCAUCUGUCUCGCUGUGUCAGGUGAUAAAUGACCUGGUACAGCAAGCUGUACCUUUCGCAUUGGUUGUUAUCUAGUGGACAUAAGAAUAAAAAAGUACUCUUCAUACUCAAAGAGAAGUUUCAAAGUCCUUCAUUAUGAUUGCAGACAGGAUCUCUAUUCAUGUUGGCUUCCUAAGGUAGAUCAGGCUUCUGAUAAAAUGAAAGCUUUUGCUAAAUACCAUUUCUAAAUGAUGGAAACAGUAUUUAGACCAUGUAACAGAUAAACAGCUGCCUCUUGGUUUCUUUGAAUUUUUAACUUGUGAGAAUUCCCACACUGACCUCUUCAUUCUUGUUAAGCAGUCUUUGCUCUGACUCUUCUGAGAAUUUUCUGAAGGUCCACAUUGGUAAUGAGGUAAGCAAAGGUCCACAGUAAAGAGGAUAUUUUUUUGUGUGUAAUAUUCCUCAUGGUUUGAUUAGUGUUGUAAUGAAUGUAAUUCUCUUUCCUGAAUUCAAGAAGUAUUUGGCAAAACUGGUUUUGAAAGUGUGACAGCUAUGUUGGUGAGCUUAGCGUUUAGCCUGUGAAAUCCAGGAGGGCAGCUACUGUGUGUUCAGUACAUGAUGAUACAGACUUGUAAAAUGCUUUUCAUGCCUUGUACCUCUGUAUAAAAGAUCAACUGAAAUAGCAACUAAAAUUAAACACAUUUUCCAGACCGA